UACGGAGGGUGCAAGCGUUGUUCGGAAUCAUUGGGCGUAAAGCGCGUGUAGGCGGCCAAAUAAGUUUGGUGUGAAAGCCCGGGGCUUAACCCCGGAAGUGCACUGAAUACUGUUUGGCUAGAGGACGAGAGAGGAAAGUGGAAUUCCUGGUGUAGGGGUGAAAUCCGUAGAUAUCAGGAGGAACAUCGGUGGCGAAGGCGACUUUCUGGCUCGUUUCUGACGCUCAGACGCGAAAGCGUGGGGAGCAAACAGG
rnacentral:rRNA from 2 species